AUCGUAAUUGAAUUUGAAAAGGAUCUUAGGAAUAAGGGUCAUGCGCAUCAUAUGGGAACCCACUUUGGUUUCUUCUUGGCAUAUCUGCCUAUGUGCAUUUCUCUCAUAAUAUUUUCUUUUUAGCAGCUUAAUUUUAUUUUUGAUAAGUUGGUAGUUGGUGUUUCUAGGUGGAAUUGCUUCUUUCUUUCUGUGUGGAGAUGGGCUUUUCUUCAGUUAUACUUGUUGGUCACGAUGCUGGAGGCCUGCUUACCUUAAAAGCUGCACAGAGCCCAUGCUUCACCAAAUUCUGUCAAUGUGGAUAUCAAGGGGGUGGUAUUACUUAGCGCAAGCUUGUCAAGGGAAGUGGUUCCUGGCGUUGCUAGAAUACUCUUGCAUACAUCACUUGGGAAGAAACACUUAGUUCGUCCUUUGCUGCUGACAGAAAUUAGUCAAAGUGGUUAAUCGGCGUGCAUGGUAUGAUGCUACCAAACUAGCAAUAGAAGUUUUAAGCCUAUACAAGAGUGUAAGCUGAUUCUUGGACACAGUAUUUUUUUUUUGUGUGAUUAGGUAGUGGAACUCUUUGAAGAAAAGUGUGAGGUGUUCCCUGUUUGUAAUUGUAAAAUUCAUCAUAUUGAUGAUCUAAACAAAAAUAUGAUGUUUAUAUGAAAAAAGACAGGAUAAGUAUCUUUUGGUUGCAUUUGGAUGGAUCAAUUAUUUUCUUAAAUAAUUAAGUCCAAAUUUUACUAUAACUAAGUUGUUGGUUAUAGUGAAAUUUCUAUUGAACUUGCAAUUUCUAUGGGUAAAGUGACAUUUUGUUUUUACAUGCUUCAUGUCAUACUAGAGGUAUUUAAUGUUAAGACAUUUGAAGGGGUGUGAUUAGUCAGACUUUAUUUUUUAUAAGACUAUAACAAUUUCUACAAAUAGUUAGUUCAUUCAUAUGCUUCUAGUGAUUUCUGAAUUAAUUUGUGUUUUUAUUUUUCAAGUCAGAAAUUUCUUGGAGAGAUGCAAAAUAUGGUCAAAGAAUUCAAGAAUUUAAUUUUUCAAAUUUUUUCAUUUUUUAAUAUAUGUAAGUAUAGUUUAAAACUUUUUAUUUAAUUCAUUUGUAUAUACUUUUGAACAUAUUUAACUUUCAUUUAUGAAAUAUAUGAUAUUAUUCUAUUCAAUAUGGGGUUGUGAUUCAAAGUAUAGUAUGUAGUGUGUAUUACAUUAUUGAAAUGCGCGUAUAAAAAUAAUAUUGAUUAUUCUUCAAAUA